AAAACACUGCUCCUCGUUCUAUCACCGAAGUUAAGUAUCGUUGUGCGCGGUUAGUAUUUAGAUGGGUGACUGCUUGAGAAUACCAGAUACCGUAA